GAUGAACGCUGGCGGCGUGCUUAACACAUGCAAGUCGAACGAAGCAUUUAAGACAGAUUCCUUCGGUUUGAAGUCUUUUAUGACUGAGUGGCGGACGGGUGAGUAACGCGUGGGUAACCUGCCUCAUACAGGGGGAUAGCAGCUGGAAACGGCUGGUAAUACCGCAUAAGCGCACAGUACCACAUGGUACAGUGUGAAAAACUCCGGUGGUAUGAGAUGGACCCGCGUCUGAUUAGCUUGUUGGCGGGGUAACGGCCCACCAAGGCGACGAUCAGUAGCCGACCUGAGAGGGUGACCGGCCACAUUGGGACUGAGACACGGCCCAGACUCCUACGGGAGGCAGCAGUGGGGAAUAUUGCACAAUGGAGGAAACUCUGAUGCAGCGACGCCGCGUGAGUGAAGAAGUAGUUCGCUAUGUAAAGCUCUAUCAGCAGGGAAGAUAGUGACGGUACCUGACUAAGAAGCUCCGGCUAAAUACGUG
rnacentral:rRNA from 1 species